rnacentral:rRNA from 1 species
AUUGAACGCUGGCGGCAGGCCUAACACAUGCAAGUCGAACGAGUGGCGGACGGGUGAGUAAUGUCUGGGAAACUGCCUGAUGGAGGGGGAUAACUACUGGAAACGGUAGCUAAUACCGCAUACCAUCAGAUGUGCCCAGAUGGGAUUAGCUAGUUGGUGGGGUAACGGAUCACCAAGGCGACGAUCCCUAGCUGGUAUGAGAGGAUGACCAGCCAAACGGGGACGGAGACACGGGCCAGACUCCUACGGGAGGCAGCAGUGGGGAAUAUUGCACAAGGGGCGCAAGCCUGAUGCAGCCAUGCCGGUUGUAUGAAGAAGGCCUUCGGGUUGUAAAGUACUUUCAGCGGGGAGGCGUUACCCGCAGAAGAAGCACCGGCUAACUCCGUGCCAGGCGCCGCGGUAAUUC